rnacentral:misc_RNA from 1 species
UCCGGCUUGACGCCGGCAGUCCCCCGAGAGUCCUCAGCUUGACCUGUUAGUAACACGGGGCAAGGGUUGCGCUCGUUGCGGGACUUAACCCAACAUCUCACGGCACGAGCUGACGACAGCCAUGCAGCACCUGUGCGGGCUCCCGUAGGAGGACCGUGUUUCCACGGCUUCACCCCGCAUGUCAAGCCCUGGUAAGGUUUUUCGCGUUGCAUCGAAUUAAACCACAUCAUCCACCGCUUGUGCGGGCCCCCGUCAAUUCCUUUGAGUUUUAAUCUUGCGACCGUACUCCCCAGGCGGGGCGCUUAAUGCGUUAGCUUCGGCACGGACGGAGUCGACACCGCCCACACCUAGCGCCCAUCGUUUACGGCGUGGACUAC